rnacentral:rRNA from 1 species
GACGAACGCUGGCGGCGUGCUUAACACAUGCAAGUCGAACGGAAAGGCCUGCUUUCCUUUGUGUUUUGCGGGUACUCGAGUGGCGAACGGGUGAGUAACACGUGAGUGACCUGCCCCCAACUUGGGUCUAAGCCUGGGAAACUGGGUCUAAUCAUCGAUAGGACUGCAGGGUGGUGCCUGUGGUGGAAAACGAUUUUCUAGUGGUUGGGGAUGAGCUCGCGGCCUAUCAGCGUGUUGGUGGGGUAAUGGCCUACCAAGGCGGCGACGGGGAGCCAGCCGGGGAGGGGGGACGGGCACAUUGAGACUGGGAUACGGCACCGACGCCAAGGAGAAGCAGCGGUUGGGAAUAUUGGAGAAUGGGCGGGAGCCUGAUGCAGCGAGGCCGUGUAGGAGAUGACGGGCUUGGGGUGGUAAACUGCUUUCGACGGCGAGGAAGACACCUGGUUGGAAGGGUGGUGACGGUAGUGGUAGAAGAAGCACCGGCUAACUACGUG